GACGAACGCUGGCGGCGUGCUUAACACAUGCAAGUCGAACGGAAAGGCCCUGCUUUUGUGGGGUGCUCGAGUGGCGAACGGGUGAGUAACACGUGAGUAACCUGCCCUUGACUUUGGGAUAACUUCAGGAAACUGGGGCUAAUACCGGAUAGGAGCUCCUGCUGCAUGGUGGGGGUUGGAAAGUUUCGGCGGUUGGGGAUGGACUCGCGGCUUAUCAGCUUGUUGGUGGGGUAGUGGCUUACCAAGGCUUUGACGGGUAGCCGGCCUGAGAGGGUGACCGGCCACAUUGGGACUGAGAUACGGCCCAGACUCCUACGGGAGGCAGCAGUGGGGAAUAUUGCACAAUGGGCGGAAGCCUGAUGCAGCAGCGCCGCGUGCGGGAUGACGGCCUUCGGGUUGUAAACCGCUUUCGCCUGUGACGAAGCGUGAGUGACGGUAAUGGGUAAAGAAGCACCGGCUAACUACGUGCCGGCAGCCGCGGUGAUACGUAGGGUGCGAGCGUUGUCCGGAUUUAUUGGGCGUAAAGGGCUCGUAGGUGGUUGAUCGCGUCGGAAGUGUAAUCUUGGGGCUUAACCCUGAGCGUGCUUUCGAUACGGGUUGACUUGAGGAAGGUAGGGGAGAAUGGAAUUCCUGGUGGAGCGGUGGAAUGCGCAGAUAUCAGGAGGAACACCAGUGGCGAAGGCGGUUCUCUGGGCCUUUCCUGACGCUGAGGAGCGAAAGCGUGGGGAGCGAACAGGCUUAGAUACCCUGGUAGUCCACGCUGUAAACGGUGGGUACUAGGUGUGGGGUCCAUUCCACGGGUUCCGUGCCGUAGCUAACGCUUUAAGUACCCCGCCUGGGGAGUACGGCCGCAAGGCUAAAACUCAAAGGAAUUGACGGGGCCCCGCACAAGCGGCGGAGCAUGCGGAUUAACUCGAUGCAACGCGUAGAACCUUACCUGGGUUUGACAUGGAUCGGGAGUGCUCAGAGAUGGGUGUGCCUCUUUUGGGGUCGGUUCACAGGUGGUGCAUGCCUGUCGUCAGCUCGUGUCGUGAGAUGUUGGGUUAAGUCCCGCAACGAGCGCAACCCUUGUUCACUGUUGCCAGCACGUUAUGGUGGGGACUCAGUGGAGACCGCCGGGGUCAACUCGGAGGAAGGUGGGGAUGACGUCAAGUCAUCAUGCCCCUUAUGUCCGGGGCUUCACGCAUGCUACAAUGGCUGGUACAGAGAGUGGCGAGCCUGUGAGGGUGAGCGAAUCUCGGAAAGCCGGUCUCAGUUCGGAUUGGGGUCUGCAACUCGACCUCAUGAAGUCGGAGUCGCUAGUAAUCGCAAAUCAGCAACGCUGCGGUGAAUACGUUCCCGGG
rnacentral:rRNA from 1 species